rnacentral:rRNA from 1 species
AACGAACGCUGGCGGCAGGCCUAACACAUGCAAGUCGAGCGCUCACCUUCGGGUGGGAGCGGCGCACGGGUGAGUAACACGUGGGAACCUACCUUGAAGUACGGAAUAACUGAGGGAAACUUCAGCUAAUACCGUAUACGCCCUACGGGGGAAAGAUUUAUCGCUUCAGGACGGGCCCGCGUUGGAUUAGCUAGUUGGUGAGGUAAUGGCUCACCAAGGCAACGAUCCAUAGCUGAUUUGAGAGAAUGAUCAGCAACACUGGGACUGAGACACGGCCCAGACUCCUAAGGGAGGCAGCAGUGGGGAAUAUUGGACAAUGGGCGCAAGACUGAUCCAGCCAUGCCGCGUGAGUGAUGAAGGCCUUCGGGUUGUAAAGCUCUUUCAGAUGGGACGAUGAUGACGGUACCAUCAGAAGAAGCCCCGGCUAACUUCGUGCCAGCAGCCGCAGUAAGAC